AUUUCGUGGUAAUGGAUAUUUGGGAUAUUUAAUACAGUUCUCAGUUCACUGGACCCACUUCAGUGUUGACAGGCUGUGAAUGUGUAUGGAUAUGUUACAUGAUGAGUCCUUUACCUCUGUCUCACCCAGCUGUGACACUCCACAACUCCCAGUCUCACAGCAGGUACACGCCUCUCAUCACACCACAGGUCUGUGUGUGUGUGUGCUGUGUGUGUGUGUGUGUGUGUGUGUGUGUGUGUGUGUGGUGUGUGUGUGUCCAUCAGCUAUUUUCAUUACAGUCAGAAUAUAUUGAAAAUGUGAGAAGCUACAGAUUACAGUAGUUUUCUCCAUCUCCUUUCCCCACCAGCUGACACCAGCAAACACUUGGCAGCCAUUUUGUGUCCUAUGGUGGUCAUUGGAAUCCUAGCCGUUAUCAUUCUGUUAUGUAUCCGUCGCCCAGGAAAUGAAGCCUGUUUCAAACAAGCUCUCAAGUUCUGUAACAAGGUAUGUAUAAUACCUACAGUAACUUACUACAUUGUGUGUGUAAUGUUUACAUUGUCAUUCAUGUGUUCCUGACCGAAACCCUAAAUAGGCAUUGUUGACAAUUGUGUAUUCCAAUAACUCUGGAUUUCUGGUGAAUUUCUGUGCUCUUAUGAAGGGAGUAAGAGAAACGUUGCCUAACAAGACCAAAGAGCCACCUCAUCAGCACAAUGCCAGAGAGGCACAGCCCAGUAUUAAGCACCAGACAGUGGAUCCACCACCUAUUACAGCAGCAAAUAUGGGCCCGGUCCAUGUCCACAAUGCUGGAACAGUCAUCUUCAGUUUACUCAACCAGUUCACUGGUAUGGGUGGAGGGAUGGAAGGGAGAGGGCAGAAAGAGAGGGAUGAGGAAGGAUGUCCGACCCACCCCACACCCUCCCCUAACAUCCAUCUAUCCCAGGAGGAAAGGGAUGGGGAGAUGGACUGUGUAUUCUUCCCUUCACAGGAACAAGGGAAGGACAGUCACGUUUCCAAAGAGGAGGUGCAUUGA
rnacentral:lncRNA from 1 species